GUGAUAUGGNGCAAAACCCUAAAAAACCGGUACUCAGUUCGGAUUGAAGGCUGAAAUUCGCCUUCCAUGAAGCUGGAAUUGCUAGUAAUGGCAGGUCAGCAUACUGCCGUGAAUACGUUCCCGGGCCUUGUACACACCGCCCGUCACACCAUGAGAGUUGGGAAUACCCGAAGCCUGUGAGCUAACUGUAAGGAGGCAGCAGUCGAAGGUAGAAUCAAUGAUUGGGGUGAAGUCGUAACAAGGUAAC
rnacentral:rRNA from 1 species